UUGAUCCUCCAUUAUUAUGGCCCCUCUGCAGACGAUUGUCAAGCGCAAAGAUUGCUUACAAUGUAAUUCUUGUUAACCUUGUGUUGUCCUUUGGGUCCCAGUGACCCGAAGGACAACACAAGGGUUAUGUACUUCCGUUUACUUUGUUGAGAAUUGCUCUCUAAACCCUGUCUCUUGUUAAGUAAAUAAAUUUUUAUUCUAGCGA